UAAAUUCUUCAGGAGCAGGCGAUCCCGCCAUGGUGGGAUGGGGCCGGGCUUAAAAAAGCAGCAGGGAGAAAGCCUGCGGGACCUUC
rnacentral:ncRNA from 2 species